UAUAGCAACACGGACUAUGUUAUAUGUAUUUCUAGAACAACGCACUUGUCCUUCGCAACUUUUCUCUUUCAAAAGUCGUUUUUGCCGCAUAAAUAAGCCCCAGAUUGUUCUGACGUCUUCCUGGCCGUCUAUGAGAAGAAACGCGACAACUAGGACACAGAGACUCCCGUGUCUUGAUUCAAACUUUCCUGGUCAGUCGGUAAAUACCUGGAAAGUGCCGUCACCUCAAGUGCGCAGCUGACGGAGGGGCGCGUGGCGUCAGGCACGGGUGGCUGGGGUCAAGUAUGGGUGGAGCCUUGUUCCCCUGACACUACCAGCAGAGAAGUUAUGACAUCCCCACCAGACCAGAAUCAAGCUGAACGGAACUAUCCGGAUCCGUUACACGGACUGAUCCGGACUCCUGACGAGCCCUCUGCGCCGGCGGCGUCCCGAGCGUCCAUCACACACCAGGACCAGGAUGGGCUCUCCCCUGCGGGCGGAGCGGCAGCCUCCUCCCCGGACAGCCCGCAGUGUGGCUGCACGGGCACGCACUUCCACCCGCCAGAUCUCAACAAACUAGGCCUGGCACCGCGCGGAUCGCUCCCUAGAGACAAUUACCGAUGUCCAGUGGCCUUCAGGGUCAGAGACAUUCGGUGGUAAAGGUUGGUAAGACGGUAUUCCCGGCAGGUGGCGCAGGAGAACGGGAGGGAGAAGCUGAUGACCCGCUGUAAGGAGGUAACCGCUAUGAUGGGACCUGAUCUGACCGAUCCAAAGAACAGGACCCGGAAAAUGUCAUCCCAGAAAAGUUCGACUUUGGUCACUAAGUACAGCGGACCAUCCACCUUCCUGCCGACCGUAACCGGCUCGUCCCAUCACAGCAGCAGCCUUCUCACCCCAGGAACCUCAGGCUUCCCGCCUUUAUCUUCUGACGAGUCUGUGAGGCACAGGAAACAUCACAAGAAGUCGGGGAAAAGAGCACAAAAGAGCAGCAGCAACUCUAAACGCCGGCGAGCGUCACCGAAAGGUUUGGCCAACACUGGCAACAGUUUGCCGAAGCUGGCAGUUUCGAAUUCGGCUGGGGGCGUGUCGUAUCCACACACGGAUAGCAAAGUCUUCAAGGUAGACCGACUUCAACCGUUGCACACUACAACCACAGGCGCCUCUGUCCAUCGGACCAUCAGAGGCGACAAGAAGUCACCACACAAGCGGCGGAAAAGCAGCAAAACGUCCACCUGAACUGUCAAUCUCCACAGGAGAUGAUAUUAAGUUAAAAGAAUCCAGGGAAAUUAUCCAAGGACAUAUGAGAGUUAUGCUUUUUACGCGUACGACAGAUGUGUCUUCCAACUGUAAAUAAGAUAGAUGUGAUACAUUUUCACCUAUCAUCUCAUAUUGUUUGGGUAUGGACCAGAUGUGUGUUCAACAAGCUGGCAGGCUAGUGUAGCGAUUCUUUAAGACACAAUACUUUGUCAAGCAAAACGUCCACUUGCUGUUUGUUUAUUUUCAAAUUGCUACAGAUGUGCACUUAUGUACAGCUAUCUAUGUCAGUAAAGAUGAGUUGAUUGCUGUAGAAUAUCUAAUUUACAAGUGCAUAGUGAGAUAUCUACAGGACCAGAGGUCUUGUUUUAGUCACUAGCGGGCCAGUGUGGGCUAGUCUGGCGACUCCUGACAACCCGAAUACACCACUGUACAUGUUUAGACGGUAGUCAUUUUCUUUCUCAUGGAAUCCUGAUCGAUAAUAAAUUUCAUCAUCUUGUC